UUGGCCUUCGCCAGUGUGGGAGCCUCGUCUCACUGGAGAGUCCGUUCAGGUAAGCAGUGAGUCCGGGCAGGGUCGAAUGCGGUGGGAGUAGAGAUGGGGUUGUUAAUCUAAAAGAGUGGUUUGGAGGGAGGGGCAGGUAGGCUCCAAGAGGGCGGGAACUUCAGGAAAGCGCAGAAAGAACUCAGUCAAGCUUCAAAGAAGCGUAUACCCUUGCUUUGCACCCUUGAGUCUGGCUCUUGCUUCUAGAACUGUCGGGUAGGGGAGUGGCCAUGAUCUUGGGGUCACUGGGGAAAGAGGUGGCCCUUUGUGGGUUCCAGAGGUCGGGACUGAAAGCGAACGUCCCUCAGUUGGGUGGCCGGGAGUUGCACCAGUUAUAAGCCGGGCGUAUUUCGAUCGGCUAGUAGUUGUUUACUUGGUGAGGUUUGCGCCAGGCGGAAGGCGGUUGCCGCCUACCUAAAAUUGGAGUCAGCAGCACUUAGUUUCCCUUUCCAGUGAGGAAUAUCUAAUUCUUCUACGGUUAAGCCGGGAAAACAGCGGCUAGUUUAGGAGGGAAGAAAACCCUUGGGCAAACGCCCAAAGCCUGCGUAUAUUCCGGCCGGAGCAUCCUGGCGCCCAGUUUGGGGAGGAGGGGUGAAGGGGAGGGUUUGGAUACGAAGCCCGGCAGGGAGCGGGUAACUCCUGGAGCCACUCCGCCGAGCACUGCCUGUGGCCCUGGUCGAGGAUACCAUUCUGGUUGCUCAGUGAUUGACCAGGAGGCGGAAGCCAGUUAAGGGGACCAAGGAGUGGAGUAGGGAGAACCUCCAUCGGCCCACGGGCGCGAGUUAGUGUUCGAAUCUUUGGGAGCUCGAAGAGCUUCGCUAAAUCUGACUCCCUUCGUCUAGUCUCUGUUUGGCAGCCCCCGCGCCCCAGAGCAGGUGUUUGGGGCGGGUAGGGGGUGUUUUGGUUUGGUUUUUGGAUCUUCUAAAGGAGUCAGUAUCUAUUGGGAAACAACCCCUAGGCAAGGAGAAGAACCGGGGGCCGGAGCGGAGCGUGUUUCAGAGGUGCGUAUAAAAUCCCAGGGGCGCCAGGAGGCAGCAGCGACGGCGCAGCGUGGGACGGCCAGGCGCGACGGGAGGGAAGCAACCGGUUGCAGUCCGGCCUCCUGUACCUGGCUGGCCCGGGCUGGGGCUGCAAGCUUUCCAGCCAAACUUAUGUGAAGCAAAGUAGUUGCAGUUUGACAAAGAAUGGCGUUUCAAUAAAUGACAUAGUAAUUUU
rnacentral:lncRNA from 1 species